GUUAAGGAAGUUAAAGUGGUCUAACAAAGAGCCUAAAACUCUUGAGAUUGAGGUUCGACUCCUCACCUUAAUU
rnacentral:tRNA from 1 species